UACAGAGGUCUCAAGCGUUGUUCGGAUUCAUUGGGCGUAAAGGGUGCGUAGGCGGCGCGGUAAGUCGGGUGCGAAAUCUCGGAGCUUAACUCCGAAACUGCAUUCGAUACUGCCGUGCUUGAGGACUGGAGAGGAGACUGGAAUUUACGGUGUAGCGGUGAAAUGCGUAGAUAUCGUAAGGAAGACCAGUGGCGAAGGCGGGUCUCUGGACAGUUCCUGACGCUGAUGCACGAAGGUCAGGGGAGCAAACGGG
rnacentral:rRNA from 1 species